GACGAACCGGCUCUGUAACGAACCGAACCGCAGCUCGGCGUCAGGACGUCCGGUCGCUUUCAUGUUCAGAGGCACCGGCGCCGGUACAAAUGACUUAAGGUCACUCAGAUGGAUCUGCUUCUAAACUCCUAUUGGAUAAACACGCAGGAGAGUCGGUCCAUCCCAGCAGAAACAUCAAGUCUUCUGGGAUCUUCUCUGUUUGUCGUCUUCAUCUGACAUUUCCAGGUCAUUUGUGCUCAGAUGAGCUAAAUUUAGCAUCAAAGCUGCACUUUCUGCAAAUGUUUUCAUGCCUUCAUCUGAUCUAUUCUCAGGAUCACCGACGGCAGCGCCGUUACCUUUCAGCGGCGCCCAGGUCCCGACUCCUCAGCUGCUCCAUCCUCCGUUCAUCCUCACGAACACUCAGGCUGAUGAAUUCAUGAAAGAAUAAAGAGGGACCCACGCUCCUCACUUCUCUCUGGCAGACGCCUUCUUAAGCUCCUCCCCCAUAAACCACGUUCACCUCGUAGUUUCCGCCCUCCUUCUCUUUGUUUCCUCUCUUUUCUGUCUUUUUGGAGCUUGUGAUGGACACCAAACCUUCACAUGAACAGAGUUGUGUGCAGGAAGAUACAAGGAUCUGCUGAGGGUUAAAAACGGAUCAGACCUGCAGCUGAAGACUGUCAGCAGGGCUCUUAGCUGACAUUUGCAGGUGAAGCUCCAGGGGCCUCCUGACUCUUUUGGCCCCGGGGCCACACUCGUUUCAGCAGGAGAACUCUAAAGUUCAGUGCGUUGACACUAAUAACUAAAGCUAAGCGCUGCUGUAAAAGACAUCAGAUGCAUUUUAAGGGUCAGAACUAAAACUGGAAUGAACCUUUUUGAGAAUUUGGGUUAAAAAAACGAGUCAAUAACAAAAAAAGCCAGCUUGGAGACUGGUCAGAAAUUGUUGGGAUUUAAACCAUCAAAAUGUUCUUCUUGAGAGUGGAUCUCUGUAUGGAGGACUUCAGGCUGCAGAGAGCAGGACCCCAGCCUCACAGAAAGCACAAAUAGACUUAAAACACAGGAGGAGGUUUGGUUUUGCUGUUUCCACUUCCUAAAGGACUCAGGUCCUGGAGUCUAGUUUGCUCUCAAUCAUCUCUGAGUUAAAUGACAGGGACCUGGCAGCAGACAAGAUGGCGCCUGAAGCCAUCGGCCAGAAGCAGAAAUUAUACAAUUUACCCUAAUCCUAACCCAAAAGAGUUCAGAAUUAAGGUACAAACUUGUAUUGAAAGCUUAAAACAGGAAAAACCGUAACUUAAGGUCAACAGUUAAAAUAGUUAAUUUGAUCAAUAUGUGGGGACUUUGAUGACUGCAACCAGGUCCUCUCGUGUUAAACUUCUAAAUUCUAUUGUGAUCUUGCUCUUCUGCCUUAACCUGCUUCUAUUUAGACCUUCGUUUUUUGUGGCUAAUCCUGGAACUGAUCCACGAUCUGAGCCACAGUCUGAUCUACAGUCAGAUCCAUUGAAUGGUUCGAUGUAUGGUUUUAUCCAUGGUCCGAUCCAAUCUCCACCUUUAACAGAUGGGUGUCUGGCUCCUCUUGUGGAUGUAAAGUGACGGACUGCGAGGUUUGGUCAGAGGAGCUUUAAUAAACUGUUCUAAAACAAAUUCGUCAAUUUUGUAAAACACAAAUGAAACGUUCUGCUCUGCUCAGGUAAAAAAAAAAAAA